AGUGAACGCUGGCGGUAGGCCUAACACAUGCAAGUCGAACGGCAGCACAGUAAGAGCUUGCUCUUACGGGUGGCGAGUGGCGGACGGGUGAGGAAUACAUCGGAAUCUACUUUUUCGUGGGGGAUAACGUAGGGAAACUUACGCUAAUACCGCAUACGACCUACGGGUGAAAGCAGGGGAUCUUCGGACCUUGCGCGAUUGAAUGAGCCGAUGUCGGAUUAGCUAGUUGGCGGGGUAAAGGCCCACCAAGGCGACGAUCCGUAGCUGGUCUGAGAGGAUGAUCAGCCACACUGGAACUGAGACACGGUCCAGACUCCUACGGGAGGCAGCAGUGGGAAAUAUUAGACAAUGGGCGCAAGCCUGAUCCAGCCAUACCGCGUGGGUGAAGAAGGCCUUCGGGUUGUAAAGCCCUUUUGUUGGGAAAGAAAAGCAGCAGGUUAAUACCCCGCUGUUCUGACGGUACCCAAAGAAUAAGCACCGGCUAACUUCGUG
rnacentral:rRNA from 1 species